rnacentral:ncRNA from 2 species
AUGAAUGAUACGGGAGAUACCCUCUUUUGGGAGCCGAAGAAGCAAAUUGUAAAACUGUCUUCUUACAAUGAAACUUUCAGGCAAAAAGACCGUUUCAGGACA